AUCAUCAUCAUCAACGCAGGAGGACAUCAUCAUCAUUAAGGGUUGUAAUGAUUUCAGUUUCUUUUCAAGUCGAAACAUUAAGGUUGCAAUGCCUGUUGGGAACUAUACUACAUCGAGCAUGAAAUUCAGGAGACGUCGUAAACGAGGAAAGUGGAGAUGGAAGGUCGAUAAGGAUGAUUCACGUAUGAG